AACAGAGAUCCUCAGUAAGUGUGUCGGUCACCUCUUCGCGCGAGCAGGGAGAUCAGAUCGAGAGCAGGACCUCCUCGCCAGUGAUUUGGAAUGAUAAAUGGGGAAGAGAAGGGGGUGAAGUUACCUGGGCGCUCAGGUAGACUUUGAGGCACUCCUCGCACACGGCCUUCUUGCAGCAAGGCAGGGGCUUGAUGGGCUUGUCUUCCAGGCACACCCGGCACAUCAGCACCAUGAGGGGCACAUAGGGAUCCCCUACACCGCCCAGGCCAGAGUAGGGUGGAGCUCCCAACAGGCUGGGCAUGGAGAACGGCUCGGGCGCCAGGCAUGACUAAGAGAUAUCGUGAAAUUACAACUCAACAAUGAAUUACAGCACAGGCUUUUCACAACUAAGAGACUGUCCAUCAUGGUGCCAGUUUUUCUCAAAAUGGCAUGUGUGCAUGAAAUUCUACAGGCAUAUGGGGUCGUGAUCUGCUAAUCUCCAGUUAUUAUAACUACUUUGAAAAGGGACUUUCCAGCUAUCAGUACACUAUCUCACAAUUACCCUUGAACCAGAAGACAAUGAAUGAUUUGCUAAACAGAUGGCAUAGUCUAUGACAUGCAUCAUAUGUGUGAGCAAUCACAGAAGGAAAGGCCGCAUUUCAGAGUCUAAGAUGCUGCAGUGACUCUCAGGAGGUGGACUACAUUCAGAUCAAAGGAAAGGAAGGAGUAUGGAUAAACAUUAACAUCUAUUGAGCAUUCCCUUUACUGCAUCGAGGGGAGGUGUGUGAUUAAACAUGCAAUUACAGUAAGGUAUGACUAGUGUUCUGUUAUGACUGUAAGGUGUUAUGGCAGUACAUAGCUGCAGGGGUCUUAACUUAGUGUGGAACACAAACUUAUGGCAGAAAUGGCAUUUAUCUAAAACUUGAAAUAAUUACCCAACUGGACAGUGGUGGAAAAGCCACAGUAAGAAAUCUCUGGCAGUGGGAAAUCAUUUGCAAAGUUAUUUGCAAAGUUAUGAUAUUGAGAUAGAGCACAGCACCUAAAUUUAUUUGUUUCAGUAUGGUUGGAGCAUACAUUAAAUGCUAGAGGAGAAGCUAGAAAUCAGGAAAGACAGCAGUCAGGAGCACAAUCAUGAGGCAUCUCUAAACCUUGAUAAGGAGUUCAGCCUUCAUCCUAAAAGAAUGGGAGGAUUUUAAGCAAGGGAAUGACAGGACAGAAUCUGCAUUUUAGGAAGAACACUCUUCUCACACUGAGGAAAAUGGAUUGAGGGGGAACAAUAUCAGACCUAGGCAGACCUAAGGUAUU
rnacentral:lncRNA from 1 species